rnacentral:rRNA from 1 species
GAUGAACGCUGGCGGCGUGCCUAAUACAUGCAAGUCGAGCGAACGGACGAGAAGCUUGCUUCUCUGAUGUUAGCGGCGGACGGGUGAGUAACACGUGGAUAACCUACCUAUAAGACUGGGAUAACUUCGGGAAACCGGAGCUAAUACCGGAUAAUAUUUUGAACCGCAUGGUUCAAAAGUGAAAGACGGUUUUGCUGUCACUUAUAGAUGGAUCCGCGCUGCAUUAGCUAGUUGGUAAGGUAACGGCUUACCAAGGCAACGAUGCGUAGCCGACCUGAGAGGGUGAUCGGCCACACUGGAACUGAGACACGGUCCAGACUCCUACGGGAGGCAGCAGUAGGGAAUCUUCCGCAAUGGGCGAAAGCCUGACGGAGCAACGCCGCGUGAGUGAUGAAGGUCUUCGGAUCGUAAAACUCUGUUAUUAGGGAAGAACAUAUGUGUAAGUAACUGUGCACGUCUUGACGGUACCUAAUCAGAAAGCCACGGCUAACUACGUG